UGACUCUUGAGGCCCAAUGAAUGGUUUUAGGUUAGGAUUCUGCUCUGCCUCUAAGAAUUGGUGAACAUAAUUUUGCUUCUCGAAUGAAGAGUGAGCAGGUCCGUGUGGUGUUCUGAAAGCAUGGGCUGUAUUACCACAGAACUACAAAUAAGGCACCAGGAACUCAGAGGCCGGGUACGUGUUGCUUUUAAAAUAUUUCACCCACCCCUCCCCACAAGUGAAAUCUUCAUUCCAAGUCCAGUUCAGCAGACGUGCCCAAAACAGGAGAGAGCCAUGUAAAACGGUUAAAGCCUUGGCAUCUGAUUUUGGUCAUACUACCACCCUAGGAUGCAACAUGCUCAGCGUAAGUCACAGGAUGGUGAAGACAGGAGGAGCAGGGCCCUUGCCACGGUUCCAAAUGUCUGCUGCCUUCCCAACAGGGUCAUGCCUGCCUACCUCAUUACUCCUGGGACUAGCUUUGGGGCCAGUGAAAUGGGAAUGGAAGCAGGAAGUGAUUGUUGCUCCCAAGCAAAAGUGUCCAGAGCCAGUGACCGGUUCUCCACCUCUGCUUCCCUUUGCUCUGAGGCCUGCAGUGAGCAGGGAGGGCAGGCUGCUCAGUGAGCCUGAGCCCUGGGCAAAGACAGCUGGGAACAGAGCCUCAGACGACCCACAGUGGAUCUGUCAGGUGGGCAGCAAAUAAACCUUUGUUUGUGAAAGCCACAGAAGCUUGGGGGCCAUACAUCACUGCAGCAUGAUGGAGCCUAAGCUAUUUAAUAAGGGAAGGAUUUUUAAAUUCCCAGUCCAAUCCUUUCAUUUCUUAGAGAAGGCAACUGUGUUGAGGGAGGAGAAUGACUUGUCCAAGGUAAUACUGCUUCCUUAAAGACAUGGCCACAACCAGAUCUGGGCAUGAACAACCACAGGGAUGAAGGCAGGAUCUGAUCCCUGCCCAUUCUGGGCAAACCACCAAUUUCACUGAAGUCUAAAAAUAAAAGUGAAAAUAAAACACCACUACCCGGUGAUUUUUAUGAUGCUUCUAAAGAAGGGCUUCAAUCACCAAGCUUUUCUCCACCCCUACUUAGACAGUCUGAGCUACAGCAUAUGAGGCAAAUGUUGAAAUGAGAAACUUUUCCAUAAAAAUCCUAUUACAGGACAUGUUUCAUAUUGUGGCCAAUGGUUAUUCAGAUCUGUUUUUUCUCCUGGCAGCAGCCUCUGAGAUAUUUCACUUUUCUGCCCCAGAGAUAGAAGGAAGGGAAAGAAGACUGAGUUAUACAUUUUAACUACAUGUUAAUUUUCGAAGAAGGAUGGAGGGAUAGAAGUAAAAUCUACAGACCAGAGUUUCUGAUUGUAGGCUCCCAUCUGGAAGGAGUGGCUAUGUCCAACAGCAGGCACGGUCAGUAGGGAUGUGACAAUUUGGAGAGAGGGGCCAUCCUUAAAUUCCUCACUUUUUGAAGCCUUUCCAUAAAACUACUGGAGUGGAGGACCAGACCAGGACCCGGAAAGACAAAUUGUCCUGUCACUGUUAUGAAGAGCAGGGUAAGACUUAAAAUGUGCUUUCCUCACUAGAAAACUUUCUUCAUAACUAGCAAUAUCAGAGGAAUCUUGCUAGAAUGUACUGGAACCCAGUUCUCCCAAGUGCAGCAUGUACCAAAGUGCCAGACAGCAUUGGUUUCUGGCUGAUGUUAUAUUCUGCAAAUGGAAACGUUUCUCUACUAUAAAAGACAAAAAAAAGAGGGAAAAGAGACAAGUAGUCCUAGAGUCCUGGGGUACAGGAGAGCAAAGGGGAAUAAUUUAAAAUCUUAGAUUGACAGAGAUACCCAUAGGAAGGAACCAACACAUUCCAUCCAUUCCAGCGGGUGUUCACAGCUGUAAAUCCAGAUAAAGGACAGGGUGGCCCAUGCUGUUCUCUGUCUGCCAGGACCAGAUAAAUACUAUGUAUGCAGGCAUGCAACCAGAUAAACCUGAAUGCCUCCCUCCCUCCAUCCCUCUAUCCUCAAAACUCUUGAG